GCCUUCGUAGCUGAGUUGGUUACAGCGUCCGACUUUUAAUCGGGCGAUCACGGGUUCGAGCCCCGUCGAAGGCU